AUUGAACGCUGGCGGCAUGCCUUACACAUGCAAGUCGAACGGCAGCACGGGAGCAAUCCUGGUGGCGAGUGGCGAACGGGUGAGUAAUAUAUCGGAACGUGCCCAGUCGUGGGGGAUAACGUAGCGAAAGCUACGCUAAUACCGCAUACGAUCUACGGAUGAAAGCGGGGGAUCGCAAGACCUCGCGCGAUUGGAGCGGCUGAUAUCAGAUUAGCUAGUUGGUGAGGUAAAGGCUCACCAAGGCGACGAUCUGUAGCUGGUCUGAGAGGACGACCAGCCACACUGGAACUGAGACACGGUCCAGACUCCUACGGGAGGCAGCAGUGGGGAAUUUUGGACAAUGGGCGCAAGCCUGAUCCAGCAAUGCCGCGUGCAGGAUGAAGGCCUUCGGGUUGUAAACUGCUUUUGUACAGAACGAAACGGUCCUUUCUAAUACAAGGGGCUAAUGACGGUACUGUAAGAAUAAGCACCGGCUAACUACGUGCCAGCCGCCGCCGUAA
rnacentral:rRNA from 1 species